rnacentral:rRNA from 1 species
AUUGAACGCUGGCGGCAGGCCUAACACAUGCAAGUCGAGCGGAUGAAGGGAGCUUGCUCCUGGAUUCAGCGGCGGACGGGUGAGUAAUGCCUAGGAAUCUGCCUGGUAGUGGGGGAUAACGUCCGGAAACGGGCGCUAAUACCGCAUACGUCCUGAGGGAGAAAGUGGGGGAUCUUCGGACCUCACGCUAUCAGAUGAGCCUAGGUCGGAUUAGCUAGUUGGUGGGGUAAAGGCCUACCAAGGCGACGAUCCGUAACUGGUCUGAGAGGAUGAUCAGUCACACUGGAACUGGGACACGGUCCAGACUCCUAUGGGAGGCAGCAGUGGGGAAUAUUGGACAAUGGGCGAAAGCCUGAUCCAGCCAUGCCGCGUGUGUGAAGAAGGUCUUCGGAUUGUAAAGCACUUUAAGUUGGGAGGAAGGGCAGUAAGUUAAUACCUUGCUGUUUUGACGUUACCAACAGAAUAAGCACCGGCUAACUUCGUG